CCUACGGGUGGCAGCAGUGAGGAAUAUUGGUCAAUGGGCGCGAGCCUGAACCAGCCAAGUAGCGUGAAGGAUGACUGCCCUACGGGUUGUAAACUUCUUUUAUAAAGGAAUAAAGUGAGGCACGUGGGCCUUUUUGUAUGGACGUUAUGAAUAAGGAUCGGCUAACUCCGUGCCAGCAGCCGCGGUAAUACGGAGGAUCCGAGCGUUAUCCGGAUUUAUUGGGUUUAAAGGGAGCGUAGAGGGGUUGUUUAGUCAGUUGUGAAAGUUUGCGGCUAAACCGUAAAAUUGCAAUUGAUACGGGCAGCCUUGAGUACAGUUGAGGUAGGCGGACUUCGUGGUGUAGCGGUGAACUGCUUAGCUAUCACG
rnacentral:rRNA from 1 species